GAUGAACGCUAGCGACAGGCUUAACACAUGCAAGUCGAGGGGCAGCAUAGGGUAGCAAUACUCUGAUGGCGACCGGCAAACGGGUGAGUAACGCGUAUGCAACCUACCCUGUACAGGGGGAUAACCCGGAGAAAUUCGGACUAAUAUCCCGUAAUAAUAUCCGGAGGCAUCUUUGGAUAUUUAAAGUUCCGACGGUACGGGAUGGGCAUGCGUAACAUUAGCUGGUUGGUAAGGUAACGGCUUACCAAGGCUAUGAUGUUUAGGGGUCCUGAGAGGGUGGUCCCCCACACUGGUACUGAGACACGGACCAGACUCCUACGGGAGGCAGCAGUGAGGAAUAUUGGUCAAUGGGCGCAAGCCUGAACCAGCCAUCCCGCGUGCAGGAAGACGGCCCUAUGGGUUGUAAACUGCUUUUCCAGGGAGAGAAACUUACGCACGUGUUGCGUGACUGACGGUACCCUGGGAAUAAGCAUCGGCUAACUCCGUG
rnacentral:rRNA from 1 species